rnacentral:lncRNA from 1 species
CGGACUAAUGAAUUCAUUUCAAUUGACCUCCUUAUAUUGACUGUAACUCAGUAAAUUCUUUGAAGUUGCAUUUAUAUUGGCCUUCCGAGUGGCGAAGCGGUCUGAAGCACUGCAUCUCAGUGCAAGAGGCGUCCCUACAGUCCCUGGUUUGAAUCCAGGCUGUAUCACAUUCGGCCGUGAUUGGGGAGUCCCAUAGGGUGACGCACAAUUGUAAAAAAAUCUGUAAUGUUGCAAUUGUACAUUCAUGCAGGGGGAAAUACAAUGAUUGCACUAGUGCAUAUGCGUGAAAGUGGUCUGCACACAGCACAUUAUCCCCGGAGAUGCCAAACUCGGGCAAAGUGUCCCCCAUAUGACGUCACAGUGAUGUCAUAAUGAGUGGGGGGAAAAAACACCUGCAUCAGAGACAGUGCAAAGAUUUUCAUACUCUGCCACAUCCUGAAGAGUUACCUUGUUGUACAAUGUCUACCAUUUACAACUGGAAUCUACAUUGAAAUUACAACACGUACAGUUUUUAUUAUGAAUACAUUUCUUUCUUGUUGUCCCAUGAUUUUCACUUAGCAAAAAGAGUUAAUGUCAACGCGAAACUGAUUGUGAGGACGAACAAAGGAUUACUGUAAUUGAAGGAACUAUGGGAAAGUUCUCCUUCCCAAGGCUCAUCAUAAGAAUGCCAUGGGCAAAUCGGACUGCACAGGACGAUUUCUGCACAGGAACUACUGAACUCCACAGGCCCAGAACACACCAGCCUCACAACUCCUCACAACUCCCCAGCCUUAAUGUGUGUAGGCAGGGCAAGGAGGACAUCGAUUCAACCCAGAAGAAGAGGAAAAAGAAGAGGCUAAAUGAGAAGGGAACCCAGGUUGAACUAGGCAUGCGGGAGGAUAUCCAUGACCUUGACCGCGCCCAUUGGAGAUUGGCUAGAGAGACAUGGAGAACUGAGCGAGGAAACAUGAGGGAGAUUAAGGCGCUGUAUGGAGAAAUAUUUAGGCUGCACCAACUCUUGGAGGAGUCCACCUGGCCGUGCUGCUGCUCCAGUUUCAACUGUUCUGCCUGCGGCUAUGGAACCCUGACCUGUUCACCGGACGUGCUUGUUGCACCCUCGACAACUACUAUGAUUAUUAUUAUUUGACCAUGCUGGUCAUUUAUGAACAUUUUAACAUUUUAACAUCUUGACCAUGUUCUGUUAUAAUAUCCACCCUGCACAGCCAGAAGAGGACUGGCCACCCCUCAUAGCCUGGUUCCUCUCUAGGUUUCUUCCUAGGUUUUUGGCCUUUCUAGGGAGUUUUUCCUAGGGAGAUUUUCCUAGCCACCGUGCUUCUUUCACAUGCUUUGUUUGCUGUUUGGGGUUUUAGGCUGGGUUUCUGUACAGCACUUUGAGAAUAUCAGCUGAUGUACGAAGGGCUAUAUAAAAAUAAAUUUGAUUUGAUUUGAUUCUGAGGAAGGUCUGCGUUUUGCACUGGUAGUAUUCUUAAGAAGGCCUGCAUUAUGCACUGGUAGUAUUCUUAAGAAGGUCUAGAAUCUGCACUUCUAGUAUUCUGAGGAAGGUUUGCAUUCUGCACUGGUAGUAUUAUUAAGAAGGUCUGCAUUAUGCACUGGUAGUAUUCUUAAGGUCUGCAUUCUGCACUGAUAGUGUUCUGAGGAACGUCUGCGUUUUGCACUGGUAGUAUUCUGAGGAAGGCCUGCAUUCUGCACUGGUAGUAUUCUAAGGAAGUCCUGCGUCUUCACUGGUAGUAUUCUUAAGAAGGUCUGCAUUCUGCACUGAUAGUGUUCUGAGGAACGUCUGCGUUUUUGCACUGGUUGUAUUCUUAAGAAGGUCUGCAUUCUGCACUGAUAGUGUUCUGAGGAAGGUCUGCGUUCUGCACUGGUAGUAUUAUGAGUUCUGUCGGCAUUAUACUCUGGUAGUAUUCUGAGGAAGUUCUGUAUUCUGAACUGAUAGUAUUCUGAGGAAGGCCUGCAUUCUGCACUGGUAGUAUUCUAAGGAAGUCCUGCGUCUUCACUGGUAGUAUUCUUAAGAAGGUCUGCAUUCUGCACUGAUAGUGUUCUGAGGAACGUCUGCGUUUUGCACUGGUUGUAUUCUUAAGAAGGUCUGCAUUCUGCACUGGUAGUAUUCUUAAGAAGGUCUGCAUUCUGCAAUGGUAGUAUUCUUAGGAAGGUUUGCAUUCUUAGAAUAAAGUUGAAAGAGAAUGGAGGAAUUUCUGAAUUGGAAUGAUUCCAAAAGUGUUCCCAUUUUCCUAAUAGGCUAAUAUACAGUAAUAAAACGUGUUUUCUUUAUGAUAUUUAUUACCCAUACACAUGUAAUUGUUUUAAGAUAGUAAUAACAAUGACCAUCAAGCUAUUAAGUAAUAAAAAUGUGUCUGUCAUCAUACAGAUUGGGGUGGAUAAAGGGGUGAUCAAGCAGCGCUCCACCUCCAUUCUUUGUCCCGUCUCCCCGACACUGCCAGCUUUCCCCUGGUACAACCUCCACAGGUUCCUCGCCAACAGCCAUUCGGAGCCAGACCAGCAUGCUGCCGGCACCCAGAAGGACCCAUCUAAGAAACAUUCAAUCUUUCCCCCUCUGGACACACAGAGCUGCACCUCCCCUGAAAGAUGGCCUCAUUCAACGUCCAAGACGUCACACCCACACGCUUCACACCGAUUUGCUGUCCCAUCCCACCCCCUGGUUUCCGGCCCUCCUGCCCGGAUGAGACAGACCCAUCCGCAUGUCCACCCCAGGUCCCCAUUGACUGGCCAGGCAAAGGUCAAGGAUGAGGUCAAGAGGCCAGAGAUUGCAUCGUCUGAGGAAUUGUCUGAGG